rnacentral:rRNA from 1 species
AACGAACGCUGGCGGCAUGCCUAACACAUGCAAGUCGAACGAGACCUUCGGGUCUAGUGGCGCACGGGUGCGUAACACGUGGGAAUCUGCCCUUUGCUUCGGAAUAACAGUUAGAAAUGACUGCUAAUACCGGAUGAUGUCGAAAGACCAAAGAUUUAUCGGCAAAGGAUGAGCCCGCGUAGGAUUAGGUAGUUGGUGGGGUAAAGGCCUACCAAGCCGACGAUCCUUAGCUGGUCUGAGAGGAUGAUCAGCCACACUGGGACUGAGACACGGCCCAGACUCCUACGGGAGGCAGCAGUGGGGAAUAUUGGACAAUGGGCGAAAGCAUGAUCCAGCAAUGCCGCGUGAGUGAUGAAGGCCUUAGGGUUGUAAAGCUCUUUUACCAGGGAUGAUAAUGACAGUACCUGGAGAAUAAGCUCCGGCUAACUCCGUG